CCUACGGGAGGCAGCAGUGAGGAAUAUUGGUCAAUGGGCGUAAGCCUGAACCAGCCAAGUCGCGUGAAGGAAGACGGUCCUAUGGAUUGUAAACUUCUUUUAUAGGGGAGUAAAAGUAUCCACGCGUGGCUUUUUGCAUGUACCCUAUGAAAAAGCAUCGGCUAACUCCCGGCCAGCAGCGGCGGUAAUACGGAGGAUGCGAGCGUUGUCCGGAUUUAUUGGGUUUAAAGGGUGCGAAGGUGGAAUUUAAAGUCGGGGGUAAAAGUUUUGGGUUCAACCUAGAAGUGCCGUUGAAACUGGAAGGCUUGAGUGUGUGAGAGGUAGGCGGAAUGAGUGGUGUAGCGGUGAAAUGCAUAGAUAUCACGCAGAACUCCGAUGGCGAAGGCAGCUUACUGGGGCACAACUGACGCUGAAGCACGAAAGCGUGGGGAUCGAACAGGAUUAGAUACCCGUGUAGUC
rnacentral:rRNA from 1 species